UGAAACACAGUUAUUAGUGAUCAAUUACUGUAAUUACUUAAUAAUCAGUUAAUGACAUCAUUAGCAUUAGCAACUGCUAAUGACAAGUCACUGAAGGGGCCAUUCGGGGAGGGGUAUGUCCUUCCCGAACGGACACCUUCCAUACCCUUUUGGUUUGUAUAUAUCUGUAACAAUACCCUCAAUCAAUUGAACCAUUUCAUUACAUCAUUCCACUUUUCACUUGCCAACAUUGAUCAACACUGAGGAUACAUAAUUGCG
rnacentral:lncRNA from 1 species